rnacentral:rRNA from 1 species
CUGGCCUUGACAUCUGUCGAAUCCUGCAGAGAUGCAGGAGUGCCUUCGGGAACGACAAGACAGGUGCUGCAUGGCUGUCGUCAGCUCGUGUCGUGAGAUGUUGGGUUAAGUCCCGCAACGAGCGCAACCCUUGUCCUUAGUUGCCAUCAUUCAGUUGGGAACUCUAAGGAGACCGCCGGUGACAAACCGGAGGAAGGUGGGGAUGACGUCAAGUCAUCAUGGCCUUUAUGGCCAGGGCUACACACGUGCUACAAUGGCAGGUACAGAGGGAAGCCAACGCGCGAGCGGGAGCCAAUCCCAGAAAGCCUGUCGUAGUCCGGAUCGGAGUCUGCAACUCGACUCCGUGAAGUCGGAAUCGCUAGUAAUCGCAGAUCAGCAUUGCUGCGGUGAAUACGUUCCC